GACGAACGCUGGCGGCGUGCCUAAUACAUGCAAGUAGAACGCUUAAGGAGGAGCUUGCUCUUCUGUAUGAGUUGCGAACGGGUGAGUAACGUGUAGGUAACCUGCCUGGUAGCGGGUGAUAACUAUUGGAAACGAUAGCUAAUACCUCAUAACAGUAGAUGUUGCAUGACAUUUACUUAAAAUGUGCAUUUGCAUCACUACCAGAUGGACCUGCGUUGUAUUAGCUAUUUGGUGGGGUAACGGCUCACCAAGGCGACGAUACAUAGCCGACCUGAGAGGGUGAUCGGCCACACUGGGACUGGGACAAGGCCCAGACUCCUACGGGAGGGAGCAGUAGGGAAUCUUCGGAAAUGGACGGAAGUCCGACCGAGCAAAGCCGCGGGGGCGAAGAAGGUUUUCGGAUCGUAAAGCUAUGUUGUGAGAGAAGAAAGAGUGUGAGGGUGGAAAGUUCACACUGUGACGGUAUCUUACCAGAAAGGGACGGCUAACUACGUG
rnacentral:rRNA from 1 species